AAUCGGGUUUCCCUCUAAUGUGUGGAGGCCUCGUCAAAGCUCUUUCAGGUUGUUGGAAAAAUCCAGUACUUUGGAACGGGACUGAGGUUCCUGCUUUCUUGAAGUCUGACAACUGGAGGACAUUCUUGGUUCCUGUAGAUCUCCCACAAUUCCUUGCCACGAGGCCCUCUGUAUCGUUUGGCAGUUUGUUCCUUUAUGGCCGGUAGGAGUAUUGACUACAGUUAGGAAUCUCUUGGCAGUUUGUUCCUUAUGGCCAGUAGGAGUAUUGACUACAGUUAGGAAUCUCUUGGCAGUUUGUUCCUUAUAGCCAGUAGGAGUAUUUACUACAGUUAGGAAUCUCUCUGACUUCCUUCAUCUCUCACCUUUAGACCCUCUUUUAUUUAAUUUUUUACUUUUUCUCUCCCAAGUUCAAACUAGCUGUUCAUUGUAGUUCCUGUUAUACCAGUACCUGAAGGCUGGCCAAAAUUUCCAGAGGCUGUUGGGAAAACCUGCUGAUGAGAGCUUUUGCUUUGCAAGAAAGAAAAACGGUGCUAGGAUUAAAGUGCACUUUCUAAUUAGUUAAAACCGUUGCCAGGCUUGUAGCGGAAAAGUCCAUCCCGUUCAACAGUUAUUUAGGUCACAGUUCUGCAGGCUGAGAAGUUCAAGGGCAUGGCUGCCGGCGAGGGCUUUUAUGCUGCAGUGCAACGUGGCAGAAAGAUCAAAGGGGACGAGGACAUGUGAGAAGAAGAGUUGAAAACCUGAGCAGUGCCCUGGCUUUAUCAUAACCCACAGUCUCAUGAAAUAACCCAUUCGUGAAAGAACUAACCCACGCUUUAGAGGAUUUAAAACCAAACUUCAUCAGAAUCUGCUGCGUCAGUUCCGCAUGCUUCGUAAGAGCUACACCAAAGACAAACAGAAUUCAUCAUUUCCCAGCGGAACGCUGUGAACUGUCUUAAGCAAGGAUAACGCGAUGCAUAUGUGGAAAUAAGUAAUCAAAAUGUAAUACGUAACUCUCUCCUUGUCAGUGCAUCAGAGUGAAGGAAAGGGAAUCUCAGUGAUUUUUGUCAACUUAUUGAGGAAUAACACCCUGCUGAGCUCAAACCAAGUGAAGAAAACACCAUUAACAGCUUAGGAGACUGGCAGCAUACGGCAAACCUGAAGGACAAACAGUCAA